rnacentral:rRNA from 1 species
UUAUAUUUAAAUCAUUUUAGGUAAUAACAAUAUUAAGUAAAACCUAUUUAUUUUGGCGGCAAUUAAUCUUAUUAAAGGAACUUGUUUAUUAAUCGAUAAUCCCCGUUAAUUUUAACUAUUAUUAAAAGUUUAUAUACCAUCAUCUUAAGAAUUAGUUUACAAAAACCGUUCUAAAUAACUUUUAUUAAGAAGUUAGAUCAAGGUGUAACCUAUAUUUUAGUUUAAAUGAGUUACUUUAAAAAUUAUUUAAGGAGUAUUUAAUUAUAAUUAAAAUGAAAAAGAAUUUAAAUGUAAUAUUUCAAUAAAAAUUUAAUGUGAAUAAGAUAACAAAUG